rnacentral:rRNA from 1 species
AACACGUCUGUGUGAAUUAGUUAUAAAGUCUAGCCNGCCCACUGAUUUANUUAAAGGGCCGCGGUAAUUUGACCGUGCGAAGGUAGCAUAGUCAGUAGUCUUUUAAUUGGAGGCUUGAAUGAAUGGUUGGACGAGGNAUAAGCUGUCUCCUUUACGGUGUUUGAAUUUAACUUUUGAGUGAAAAGGCUCAAAUUGUUUGGGGGGACGAUAAGACCCUAUAAAACUUGAUAUAAUUUGAGCUUAACUUGCGAUGUGAGUGAAAAGUAGUUNUGUUCGGUUUAUAUUUCGUUGGGGAGAUGAAGAUAUAAUGNGUAACUGUCUGUUGAAUUUUAUAGAAUUAACUAGAAUUUGAUCCUUCUUUGGGGAUUAGAAGAGUAAGUUACUUUAGGGAUAACAGCGUGAUUUUCUUUGAGAGUUCUUAUCGACAAGAGUAGUUGCGACCCCCAUGUUGAAUUAAAAUUUCANCNAGGUGUAGCCGUUUANCUGGUGGGUCUGUUCGACCUUUAAAAUUUUACAU